AGAGUUUGAUCCUGGCUCAGGAUUAACGCUGGCGGCGUGCAUAACACAUGCAAGUCGAACGAUGAAACUUAAAUGAUUUCUUCGGAAUGAACUUAAGUGGAUUAGUGGCGGACGGGUGAGUAACGCGUGAGUAACCUGCCUUACACAAGGGGAUAGCCGUUGGAAACGACGAAUAAUACCCUAUGAAACUAUCACUUCGCAUGAAGCGAUAGUCAAAGUGUUAGCGGUGUAAGAUGGACUUGCGUCUGAUUAGCUAGUUGGUGAGAGAAAAGCCCACCAAGGCAACGAUCAGUAGCCGGCUUGAGAGAGUGUACGGCCACAUUGGGACUGAGACACGGCCCAGACUCCUACGGGAGGCAGCAGUGGGGAAUUUUGCACAAUGGGGGAAACCCUGAUGCAGCGACGCCGCGUGAUUUAGAAGGCCUUCGGGUUGUAAAAAUCUUUUGUAUAGGAAGAAAAUGACAGUACUAUACGAAUAAGGUCCGGCUAAUUACGUGCCAGCAGCCGCGGUAAUACGUAAGGACCGAGCGUUGUCCGGAAUCAUUGGGCGUAAAGGGUACGUAGGCGGGUCAUUAAGUUAGAAGUCAAAGGCUAUAGCUCAACUAUAGGAAGCUUCUAAAACUGGAGACCUUGAGUAAUGGAAGGGAAAGUGGAAUUCCUAGUGUAGCGGUGGAAUGCGCAGAUAUUAGGAGGAAUACCGGUGGCGAAGGCGACUUUUCUGGCCAUUAACUGACGCUGAGGUACGAAAGCGUGGGUAGCAAACAGAUUAGAUACCCUGGUAGUCCACGCCGUAAACGAUGAGUGUUAGUGUCUGGAGUAAAUCUGGGUGCCGCAGCUAACGCAUUAAACACUCCGCCUGGGGGAGUACGCACGCAAGUGUGAAACUUAAAGGAAUGACGG
rnacentral:rRNA from 1 species